AUUCUAAUUGAUGUUGCGGUAUAUAAUUUUAUGAUGUUGCUAUACACGUUGAUAUCUUGAGUUUUUGGGGGUUUUAUUAUUUAGGUUUGCUAAUUAAUUUAGUGGAUGGAGUGUGUGAGGAAUUGGCCGCCAAUUUUUAGGAAGAGUACUCAGUACUGCUCUCAUUCUAGACUCAACGAAGAAUUUCAGAUUACCGAUGACGAGGAAGAUGAAGUUUUCAAGUAGCCGAUGAAGACCGCCACAAACAUGUCGAUUGCGUCAAAAUUGACGACAACGAUUUGAAAUCCCGAAAUGUCGCUGCGCUAAUUAGGGAAGAAAACGCCUAUCAAAUUAGCCUCAAACGUUGCGGGUGGAAGGUUAUUUUUGCUGGAUCAUAUUCUGGAACAAGGUACGGAAUAAUAUUGUUUGGAAAAUCAAUAAAGUGCCCGUGACAUCUAUGCUUCUUGAAGAAAAAGCUUGUCAAGAUUCAUUCAAGAAUGAUAAAAUAAUAUAACUCUCCGGAUGAUUAUAUUCCACCAGGUUAGUUAUUGGAAUUAAUUUUUAUAGUGCCGCUGAAAUAAAGGAAAUCAAUUUCCACCUUUAUUAUUUAGUCUCUAGUUCUCUACCGACUAUUUAUAUUUUCAUGAAAUUAGUGAAGUAUAAGUACUAUGUCCAGAUUAUGCGGUACUGGGCAAUAAUCUAUUGGACAAAUAUUCGAUCUAUGCAUGACCUGGAUUAUUAUUUUAGUUGUUCAUUGUUAAGAGGUUGUGGCUUAAUAAAUUUACUUAUAAUGAGGGAUAAUACUGUAUCUUUAUUUGUUUAUCGGCUUCUCUGACUGAUCCCAAAAUAAAGAGGUACUUCAUAUCAGUUUGUUUGAAUUGGCUAUAGUAGGAAUCUCGUUGUUGUUUAAUGUAUUUUUUUGUGUAUUGUAGUCACAUGUACUUUGUGAAAUAUGUUUGGAUCAAUUGAAAUGCUGAAUUUAAUUAGAGCGGUUGUCCUCUACGAAGUACCACUUUAUUGGAGAAAGAAUUAUUUAUAGUACAAAAUACUUUGUUGAGUUCAUACUGCCGUGUGAUUCAUAUAUUUAGAAGGAAACGUAGUUCCAUCUAAGCACCAAGAGUUUUAAUUAUUUUCCCUAAAUAAGUUUAAUGACAUGCUGCACUACUUGAGUUUAAUUACAGGCUGCAUUUUUCUUGAUGGAGGUGAACUUAUUUUUACUUUUCCAAUACUGACACAAGCUUUCAUACUCAUUUCAUAUAUUAUUGAUAUAUACAGAAUUUUUUAUUAUGGAAGUUUGUUAAGAUUGAAAUAAAUUACUGCUUGUGUUACUUUUUGGAGAUUAUUUUUGUUAAUUGACUAUGUUCAAUGCGGCCAGUAGACUUCAAGUGGGCUUUGUAGCUCCAUGUUUGCGUAACUAUGUUUGAUAAUAGUCGCGCUAAUGCUUCAUUGGUGUAUUACAUGACUAUGUUUGUUGAGGAUCUUCAUUAGCAAGGCCAUAUAUAAGGUUGUUGAUUGCGAUCGUACAACAAUAUGAGUUAAUUAGGAGCUUGACAAGCAUGAGUUAAAAACUUUAAUUUUCUAUGUUGGUCCUAAGUCAUAUGUUACAUAUGUUUUUUUUUAAAUAAAAAAUUUAAAAUAAUAAUUGCAUACGUAUUAAUUUGGAGAUGAUUUCUUAUUUGUCUAUCGUCUAACAAGUAUAGAGAUUAGUUUUUGUACGUCUGAUCUUUUUGUUAUUUGUGAAAGUUUAAGAGUUAAUUUUUUGAGAUUGGUUCACAACUGUAUUAAGUGAUAGGAUGUAUUGGAUAGUCAAACAGAUAUUUAGCAAUAAAUUGUAAUUAUACAUUACAUAUUAUGUUAGCUAGAAUUACGGCUAUACGUUUGUAUGACUGAUUGGCCAUGUUUAUCAAUCAAGGAAUUACCUCCCAAUAUUAAGUAAUAAAGUAUGCAACAUGAAACUUGAUUUUCAUAUACUUGAUUUUAUGCCAAAGUGUAAUAGUGGAUCAGUGGGUAUGUGGACAAGUAUUUUCUAAUUGUCUUCAACGGUUGACCUUACCGUGCUAUUAUCUUUGUCUAACAUUCAAAUUUUGUGGAUGAUAAAUUUGUUUUUGAAUGUUGCACUUGUGACUAGUAACAUUGUGUAGGUCUGUUAGACUCACAGUUAACACGACUACUUUUAUGCAAUGCUAGCAACACUAAUGAGGUUGCUCAUAUACUACUUGGCGAACAGGCGCAAUGAUGGUAGUAUAUCCAUCAUACACGUUAGUAGGGAAGUCUCUAAUCACUUAAUUAUAUAUUUGUCAAAUUAUUAUUUUACGAAUAUGUUUAGUUUGUGUCCCUUUUAUGCACAAUAUUUAUUUCGAUGAUUUGUUGUGCAAUGUGGGGGUGAUAUAGUGUUUAAGACUAACUGAUAAGUUAGUUACAACAUGAUUUAGUGAGUACACGUAUGUGGAGCUACAAAAGGAUUAUUGCGGGCACCUAAAGUAUGUAGUGGUAUGAGUAGUUUCUCAAAACUACUAUUUAUUCUUGGGUUAUAAUGACUGGAUUUAUUCCACAUACGUGUAUAGUUUACAUGACUGGCUUUAAUGGUGUCCAUAUGCCUUGUGUUGAUCAUAUGUCGUUGGUUCACACAAACUUUAAUACUUUUGUUAUGACUAAGUUUUCUUAUGUCUUAAGUCAAGAUGAAGGUUCGAGGUCGAUGAGAUUACUUAAUUAUAUGAUAGUAGAUGCUCUGUUAAGGCUAAUGAGUUGGCACAGCCCGAUACAUUUAAUCUUAUUCUCGUUAUGUAGAGAAAUGUUGGGUAAUCGUCAAAUGCUUAUUAGUAUAGACUUAUUGUGGUCCUAACAUACUAUUGUUGAUAGCUUUUGAGAAAGUUCUCUCAAAAUAAUAUGCUAAUGUGCUUGUAAGUCUAAUAUGGUGAUAAUUUAAUCUUGACUUUAUGUUGUUUUGCGGUAAACAACAUUUGUUGGUACAAUCAUAAAUCUCUAGUGAGAUUAAUUUUCUCUGUGUGCUAGUGUAAUGUUUUGAGAAAAUACAAAACAGAAGUAUGUUGCACUAUACAUUAUGAAGUUGAGUUCAUAGUAUCGAAUCUUAUAUGUAAAGAGACCAAGGUUUGUUAAAUUGGUUAAGUCAUUAUAUGGACUUAAGCAAGAUUCUAAACAAUUGCAUGACAGGUUUGACAAGACUAUGAUUGGUAAUGGGUUUCAUGUCGAUGGAGGUGACUCUUGAGUUUAGUCUAAGCAUGAUUCUCUUGGUUGUGUGAUUAUUUAUCUUUAAGUAAAUAAUGUUAAUAUUGUGAUCUAGUUGUCAAUCUGAAUAUGCUAAUAUUGUUGAUAGUGUUAUGCAUGUUUUGCAUGAACUACACUACGUUUGACAUUGAUUAUUCCGUGAGUGAAUUGGGCAGGUACACCAUAUCACAAGUAAUGAUUAUUGGGAUUCUAUAAGGUGAUUGCUUCGGUGCCAUGUGGGUACCAUGGAUUGGAGUUUGCACUACUCCGAAUUUACAGAGUGUUGAAGGGAUUAAGUGAUGCUUAAUUGGUAUCUGGUUGUCACAAGGUUCACUCCAACAAUGGUUAUGUCUUCACCCUAGCGGGUGGAGCUGUAUAUUGGAAAUCUUGCAAGCAAUCUUGUACUAACUGCUAUGAAUAAUAUAUAAUAUGAAUUUAUUUUUAUUAAGUUGGCAGGUUAUGAGGCAAAAUGGUUGAGGAAUGUGCUUGCAAAUAUUCCAAUGUGGGGGAAGCCAACUCCUUCAGUUGCAAUCGGUGUUGCAAACAACCUUGCCUAUAAUGGGAAGAAAGACACAUUCGUUUGAGGCAUAAGGCCGUCAAAGGUAUGUUGUCUAUUGGAGUUAUAACUUUAGACUGUGUAAAAUCUAAAAUGAAUAGUACGGAUCCUUUAACGAAAGGCCUAUGUAAGAAACUAGUUUUGGAAACGUCGGAGGGGAUGGGCUUGAGGCCCAUUGGAUGAAUGGUAAGGUAAUGAACUCCUACUCACCAUGAGUUCAAAGGGGAACAUUAUGUAAUAAUUCAGAAGCACAAAUUUUAUUUUUGUCCAUCCCUUAGAUGUUUAUGAUGUGCUUGCUAUUAUUGAACGAGGUUGAGCAUAUGGCUCUUAAUGAACCCAUAUCCAUAUUUUUGGUGGUGUGAUGUAGCUCACACUUGAUGGGAUUCACCUACUUAGGUGUGGAAGUGAGGCCGCUUCCUAUGAGAAUUGCAUGGGCUAUUCUCUAGAGCACCUAUGAGCAUCCAGGUUAUGGACGUAUGGCCAGUAUAAUGCGUCACUUUUAUUGGCGGAGAUUCAGAGUAUCAUACAUGUUCAAUUGUGUGCUUUGAGUAAUGAGUUUCUAACCUCCUAUUAAGUUCAAUACGAAAGUCACUUGGUAGGAAAGAGAUUCUAGCUUGAAUGUCACUAAGUGUUAAUUCAAGUCGCAAGACAUUGACCCCUAUUCAAUUGUUUGUUUUGCCCAGAAAUUCAAUUCUUUUAUUUCUUUCUUUUUCUUCUCAUCUUCGGACCUGUGGGGGAUUGUUGGAAAUCCUUGUGAGAAAUACAAAAAAAAAUGAGUGGGAAAUGGGAAAAUGUGGGAAUAUGGAAAGUCCCACAUGGGAAAAACACCUUCUACAUUCAUUGUUUAUAUUUGGGGACUUGAUGGAAAGAUUUGUUUAAGAAAGCAUGAGAGUAGCAUGGGUUUGUGGGUCGGGUUAUUCUUUUUGGGCAGAAGUGGUUCUAAUUAAUUCUAACGGUUAGAAGAAUUAAUCGACCCAUUCAAUAUUGUAACUGCCCACUUAUUCCACCCACUAAUCAUGUAACCAACCACUACUUCCAUUAUUUAUUUUCUAGCCAUUUUAUGGCGGUUACAGUUCGCAGAAACUCUCAAUAUAUAUUUACCACUUCCGUUCUUCAAAAAAUACACACAGAAACUGUUAACUAAAUUCUCUCUCAAUUCUCUUAUGUUCUGGGCAAAUAUUCUGGUCUCCAAUCGAGUCUUGUGAGUGCACACAAGUCUUGAUGUCGUGUUAACCCUGGAGGGCAACCGCAAGCGUUCUACUGCACCGGGGUAGCGCGGAAUUGUCUUUUAGAGCAGUGGUUCGGCCACGGCGCGACAAUCGUUCUAAUUCGGUCACCUCGUUCAUCACGAUAAUGAGAUAAGUUUAUUCUAAUUAUAUUCCAAUUUAAUUAUUGUGACAACAUUAUUACUUUAUGGUAUUAAAUCGCAACAGAAAACACAAUAUUCUUCAAUUCAAAAGACAACACAGAAAAAUGACCUUAAGUUUCAUGUUAAGGAAUAGAGAAACAACAUAAGCCACAAGCAUCAAGCGGAGAAGCGAUGAGUUCAAAAACAGAGUAAUCUCUCGCCAAUUAAAAUAUUAGCCUAGACUUGUUAAUAAAGGACUAGACUUUAGAAUUGAUUGAGAAGAAAUUUGACCUUGAAUAAUCAACAACACUUACAACAGAAUUAUCUUAAGUAAAUACAUUAAAUAAUCAACAACACUUCCUUUAAUUUGUCGUUAAUUAAGCUUUACAUUAAUAGUUAUACCAAAUUCCAUUAUUUUCUGUUUCAAAUGAUUAAAUUCCAUACAUAAUUUCAGAUUUUGAAUUAUUCAAUGCAAUUAACAAAUAACAACUCCCAACAACUAGAUUACUACUCCGUAUUAUAAAUCACCAUAAAAUGAAAGUUGAAUUCAAAUUGUCUGAAUAGGACGUAUAUAGAAGUAAAUAGAGAAAAACAAAUUAUAAAACUGACCUUGAGCCUUGAGGUAUGAAGUGUGGCUCGUCGGAGGUACGAACUACGGAGGUACGGAGGACAAAUGAGCAAUUGCUGCUCGGCGAGUCGGCGGCUCGACAGAGGCCGGAGGCGUGACUCGGGUGAGACGACUAGGGUUUUGAAAAGUGAAGGGAGUGAGGCCGUGAGGGAGACACUAGUACACAACGGCUGUCUUACUGACACUAGGGUUUUCAAUUUUUCAUCUAAGGCUCCGCUUGGUAGGACGUAAAACGUUUUUAUUGUAAAAUGAAUUUCCAUGAAAAAUAUUUUUCCAAUUCUAAACUAACUUAAAGAAAAAUGGAAGAAGAUGGUGAAGAUUGAGGGGAAGAAAGGAGAGGGAGGUAAAGAGGAAAGAAGAAAAAGUGGUUUCUCUCCCUUUCAAAUGGAAAAGUAUUUUCCACCUUUGAAGGAGUCAUGGAAAAUUGUUUUACGUCCCUUAUCCAACCAAACAACGUAAAAUGAUUGAAAAGGGGAAAAUUGUUUUCCAUGAAAAUGUUUUACGCCCUACCAAACGGAGCCUAAAUGAGUAAUCCUAACACUUCUAAAUGCUUGAACUUCACUUACUAUUCCUGUAACAGUGAAAUUACUAUAAUACCCUUAUUUUUCCAUUGUUUUACAUUCAGCCCUUAGCCUUAAUCUGGUGCCACGUUUCCGUUGCCAUCACCUCUCCCUCUCCUCCUCUCUCCCAAUCUGGUGCCCUAAUUCUUUGUUUUGUUCUUCAGCUCUCCUUCUCCUCUUCUCUCAUGUAUGGCUACCUUUCUCUUCUUGGAUCUUACCUCCCUAUCAACUACUACCGGGCCUUUCUCUUUAAUCAAACAAAUUGUUCUGGUCUCCUCACCCUCUUCAAUAAUCUUUGUCUGGUUUCUUCACCCCUUGCCCUUCCCUCUCUUGUGAAUCUCCUCUGAUGAUCAUCAAAGCGUCGCCGGUAAGGUAUCUCUAUCUAAUUCGCAUAUCCUAUCUUAGUGUCCCUGAUUACUCAACUCAAUUUAUAUUAUAGCAAUUUAUAUUAUACCAGUUUCUCCAACCAAAUUAGUUUUUUUUUUUUUGGGUUUUGGUGUUUCAAAUUAGGGUUUACAAUCAAGCUACUCAUUCGUUAGACUUCAAAGGAAUUUCAGGUACUUUUCUUCUUAUCUUCCUUCAAUUUCUGAAUUUUUAGAAUUUUCUAGGUUUAUGUAUUUGAAUUUUGAUUUUUUUAGGGUCUACAUAAUUCAGACCCCGCCCUCAAUUUCUUGAAUUGCAACAAUAUAAUUUUGGUAUUUUAUUUUUCUUUAGUUUAUACGAUUUAUUUCCAGCAUUACUUGUUGAUAUGAAUUAGUAGUUUUAAUCUACGUUUCUUUGCUAUUGGAGAUUAUAAUUUCUUUUAUUUAUUCAAAUUGGAAUGCCAAAAUGGAUUCAUUCUGCAUCUGGGUAUAUAAUUACCCUAAAUUUCCCCCCCUUUCCCCGCCCUGGAAAUUGAAAUUAAGGCAUGUUCACUCAUUUUCCAUUUCAAUUUGUAAUAAAUUGGCGCUUUUAAUAGUUUACUUUUGGGGUUUUUUGUACUGUUGCCUUUAUUUUAAUUGUGAAAACGUAAUUGCUUAAAUUAAAUUGAUCAUGGUGUUUUCUUAUACUGCAUGUCCGGUGAAUUUGAGAGCCUCGAAAGAAGAGAUCAACUCAGGGAUUUGCUAAGCAUGUGCUUGAUCUGUUAGGUGUCAAUCCCAGGCCUCUGCUGCUCUACAGGUUAUGUGCUGAGUGUGUAGGUUAAUUUAUUGUUGUUUUCUUGACUUGUUAUGUGGUCUUGUGUUCUUGAUUGUUGAGCACUUUACCGAGUUUUACCAUGGACUCUUCUUUCUCGCUCGUCUCUCUUGUGUGUAAUGUUUUGGGUUGAUUUAUUUGCCUGGUGCCUUUUAUUCGGUGCUUCCUGCUUUCUAAUGAUAUUUUGCAAUGUAGUAGCCAUUUAGGUGUAUUGUUGAUGUAAUUGUUCAUGUCUAUGGUUUAGCUUUUGUUAUGCUCUCUGCCUUUAGAGUUUGUUUUCACUUCCUAAAGGCCGAUCCCUUAGUUGUUACAUAUAAACGACUGUUAAGGAAGAUUCACCAAAUUGGUCAUACGACUGAUGCAUUAUCAAGGUUAACUAAAUGUUUAUUAGUAGCCCGUGUUCCUAUAAACAUUCCUUUGCCUAUGAGGAAGAUCUACCAAGUUGGUCAUACGACUGAUGCAUUAUCAAGGUUAACUAAAUGUAUAUUAGUAGUUCGUGGUCCUCUAUAAAAUUCCUUUUGCGAUUGGGUACUGGUCCUCCUAGAUUAAACUGAUGUCUAUAUGGCUAUCGGGAAUGCACCGUACAUUUAUGUGUUCUGCUCGGAUUAGCCUCUUGCUUCUACAGUGAUUUUCUGUUUUUAAGUUUGCAUUUACAAAUAUUUCGUGCGCUUAGGGUUUGUUUCAACCUCAUCUAGGAAGCCUCUUUUACAUUAGCUUCCUGAUGCUCUUGGUUAGAGUUGCAACUGCAUAUUUCCUGGCAGUACCCGCCAAGCUGUUUAUGGGUAGGGUGUUAUCUACAUUUCAUUUUUCGCAGAUUUUAUUUGUUAAUUUGUUCUUUGUUCUUUCUUUUAUAUGUUACUGUGCUUAUAGUGUUGGUUUUUAUUUGGCUUUUUCAUUGAAUUAUUUCAAGAGAAUUGUAAUUACAACUGAAUAAUCUAGCUGCAUUGAUUUUGUUGUAUGUCAGAGGGAACAAUAUACUGGAAAUCUAACAUGCGAGCCAGUAGCUACUCGUGCUACUGCUACAGAACGACUUUAUGGAGAUAAGGACAAAUGUUUUGAAGUUGUUUGUCAUGCAUAAAAGGCAUGUUCCUCGUGCUACUGCUACAAUUGGAUCAUUGCUGAACAUUUUCCAGGCAAGCGUGCACAUUUAUAAUCUUGUUGGUAUUUCUUGCAACUCUGCAACUAAUCAUCCCCUUGUACAUGAUUUUUGGGAUUAACAAUAAUUAUACCAAUAUUUUUAAUUUUGGCAUAUGUCUAUAUGGUGAGGAGGCAGAGGAGAUUCUUUCAUUCUGGUCUUGUUUUUGUUGUUGAAGUUAUUGAUUGCUAUAAAUGCAGGCAGGCACCCUUGUCUAGGUGUAUUUUGCUGUCAAAUGUUUUGUAGGGCUUGAAGGUCAUGUUUUCUCUUAUCGCCAAUGUUGCUUAUGUUGGAAGUAUUAAGGUUCAUUGAGAUUGCAAGGAGGGUGAGGGGAUGUUGUUGACACUCUCUCUUACUUUUCAUUGAAGGCUUUUGGAUUUUGACAACAUUGCCAAUGAGUUCCUCACCAACCAUAUUUUGAUAACUUGUCUCCAACUUGGACUAGCAACUUCUCUUUCAAGGACAUAUGGUUAAUUUAUAAAUGAGAUUUUAAUGUAUUAUAAUUUGGAUAUUUCAUUCAUUGACUUUUGAAUGUAUUGUCAUUGCGGUAUGGCUUCUGUACGGACAAUUUCUAUUUGUCUUAUGUAUGGUAUAGCUCAAUUAUGUAUGGACAAUAUGUAAUUCAUUUGAAAAACUCAUUGGCGUCCUAUAUGGCUUAUUGGCUGUGAUCAUCUUGGAUCAAAAUUCUACCACAUAUGUAUUUGGAACUUUAAUUAUGGCAGGACUUCAACGGCAAAGUAUAGUUACAUGUCCCAAGUUUCACACACUUCGGUGGACCUCAAGCAUGUUGUUCCGGAGGACGAAGAUGGUGAAUGAAUGUACUCUUUCCUCAAGAGAUGGUAAAUGAAUGUAGUUGAACGGUUGAUGUCCAACUCUAUUAAUGCAAGUUAUUAUAUGUAUAAAUUAGUUUGACAACAGUAUUAUGUACUUAGGGCUUUUGCGGUAAUGCUUCAUGUUCUUAGCCCAAUA